CGCUCCCUUCUUUAACCUCCUAAUCAAGGUCACCAAGGAUAUCUUAUUAAAGCAACAGAGAUGAAAUGGGAAUAAUCCCUUUGGCCACUGUCCAUUCUCACCCUGGAGACUGCCUCAAGGUCUGACUCCACUUGUCUUCCUCACUACACUCGAUGCUUCAUAUAAUCUCAUUUAACAGAGAUCAAUGGACCAGUGAGCUAAGGAAAAAAUCAGCACGAGAUCCAGGCCUGCAGCUGUUCCUGUAAGAGACGAGUCAAGUUUCAAACAGUUACAAAGUCGCAGUGCAAAUAAACAGAAAGGGGCGGGUCUCCUGAGGAGAAAGUUAAAAUUAACCAUGUGCAUCCUUGUGCAAGGUUUGAAGCUAAGCCAUCAAUCCCUAG
rnacentral:lncRNA from 1 species